AUCAGCAGCCAUAUCACCCUGCAGCCCAAGACUGGUUGCCCACUGAAGCUAAGCAGGGUUGAGCCUGGUCAGUACCUGGAUGGGAGACCUCCUGGGAAAAUUAGGUUGCUGCUGGAA
rnacentral:rRNA from 1 species